rnacentral:rRNA from 1 species
AUGUUAGAAGGUGCUAAAUCAAUAGGCGCCGGAGCUGCUACAAUUGCUUUAGUCGGAGCUGCUGUCGGUAUUGGAAACGUCCUCAGUUCUUUGAUUCAUUCCGUGGCACGAAAUCCAUCAUUGGCUAAACAAUCAUUUGGUCAUGCCAUUUUGGGCUUUGCUCUCAUCGAAGCUAUUGCAUUGUUUGCCCCAAUGAUGGCCUUUCUGAUCUCAUUCGUUUUCCGAUCGCAUAAAAAGUCAUGA